UACGGAGGGUGCAAGCAUUAAUCGGAUUUAUUGGGCGUAAAGGGCGCGUAGGCGGGGAUAUUAGUCAGAUGUGAAAUCCUGGGGCUCAACCUCAGAACUGCAUUUGAAACUGUAUCUCUAGAGGGUAGGCGGAGAAAACGGAAUUCCACAAGUAGCGGUGAAAUGCGUAGAUAUGUGGAAGAACACCGGUGGCGAAGGCGGUUUUCUAGCUUAUUCCUGACGCUGAAGCGCGAAAGCAAGGGGAUCAAACAGG
rnacentral:rRNA from 1 species